GAUGAACGCUGGCGGCGUGCCUAAUACAUGCAAGUCGAGCGAACAGACGAGGAGCUUGCUCCUCUGACGUUAGCGGCGGACGGGUGAGUAACACGUGGAUAACCUACCUAUAAGACUGGGAUAACUUCGGGAAACCGGAGCUAAUACCGGAUAAUAUAUUGAACCGCAUGGUUCAAUAGUGAAAGACGGUUUUGCUGUCACUUAUAGAUGGAUCCGCGCCGCAUUAGCUAGUUGGUAAGGUAACGGCUUACCAAGGCAACGAUGCGUAGCCGACCUGAGAGGGUGAUCGGCCACACUGGAACUGAGACACGGUCCAGACUCCUGCGGGAGGCAGCAGUAGGGAAUCUUCCGCAAUGGGCGAAAGCCUGGCGGAGCAACGCCGCGUGAGUGAUGAAGGUCUUCGGAUCGUAAAACUCUGUUAUUAGGGAAGAACAAAUGUGUAAGUAACUAUGCACGUCUUGACGGUACCUAAUCAGAAAGCCACGGCUAACUACGUG
rnacentral:rRNA from 1 species